ensembl:lncRNA
GUGAGUUCCUUUCUCUUCUCAUAACUCUCAAUUCCACCCUCACAUUUAUGCCGUGCCCGGGCAUCUUUCCGCCACGCUGGAGCAAAGAUCAAAAGUAAAUAUUGGCAGAACAUUGGUUUUACUGUGACCCAGAUAAGGAACAGCCUAAAACGGAAAUAGCGAGAUUUUAUUGUUCCUCCCACAACUUCCCUCCUCACCGGGCUCCCUCAAUAUUUAAUUAUGAACUUCACUUCAUACAAAGUCUUGGUGUUAAUUUGGUUGCCAACAGGGCGGGGCCUGAACAACUCCAGGAGCUCCAGGCUAUAAAUAACCCCAUGAACAGCGCCCCCUGGAGUUGUGCCAUGGCUGCGUACACGUGUCGAUUCAUAUCAUCAUCUCAUUCUCAUUGACGGGGCAGAGGAAUCUUUUUUGCUUCAGCAAAUGUUUCCUGCUUUGUGAAAGAAACAUGAGCACACAGAAAAAUUCAGACAGGGCUCAUGAUAUGCUGUCCAGUCCUCUCUCUCAUGGUGCCCGGCAGGGCAGUGAGCCAUAGCUCCCAGUCGGCGCCACGGUCACUAGAGUGAAGAGCUGAUACACAGACAGCCGUCCUGGACCCAGACGUCCAUCCUGUUCUUCCCCGUCAGCACCGUAUCAAUAGAUCUGGUCACGUGAUGGAUCACAUGCCUGAGCCAGCUGCCAAGGACGCUGGGAAAGUGAGGGCCUGGUCACUGUUGUGAAGGCUCCCAUGGACUGCAGUGGGCACAACAAGCCAAGACACAGAUGUACGGCUCCUCUUGUAAAAUCUGAAGACGAUAGUUUCGAUCCUCAGCGGGUUGAAUCCACAGACGCGGAACCCUCCAUGUAAAGGACCGACUAUGUCAACCUCCUGGGGCACAGAGAGAUCCCCUCGCCCCAUGAGUGGGCCUGUGCAGACAGAGACGGUGAGCGAUAUAAAGAUGCAGUGGGGCAGACAGAUGCCUUUUGGACGAGCAAGUCAAAGAA